UACGAAGGGGGGCUAGCGUUGCUCGGAAUCACUGGGCGUAAAGCGCACGUAGGCGGAUCUUUAAGUCAGGGGUGAAAUCCUGGAGCUCAACUCCAGAACUGCCUUUGAUACUGGGGAUCUCGAGUCCGGGAGAGGUGAGUGGAAUUCCUAGUGUAGAGGUGAAAUUCGUAGAUAUUAGGAAGAACACCGGUGGCGAAGGCGGCCCACUGGAUCGGUACUGACGCUGAGGUGCGAAAGCGUGGGGAGCAAACAGG
rnacentral:rRNA from 1 species